rnacentral:rRNA from 1 species
UUUAUGGAGAGUUUGAUCCUGGCUCAGAGUGAACGCUGGCGGCGUGCCUAAUACAUGCAAGUCGAACGAUGAAG